CGUUCAACCUCAAAAGAAGCAGAGGGGGCUUAGUGGUGGGGUGACUGCGUACCUUUUGUAUAAUGGGUCAGCGACUUAUAUUCUGUAGCAAGGUUAACCGCAUAGGGGAGCCGAAGGGAAACCGAGUCUUAAUUGGGCGUUAAGUUGCAGGGUAUAGACCCGAAACCCGGUGAUCUAGCCAUGGGCAGGUUGAAGGUUGGGUAACACUAACUGGAGGACCGAACCGACUAAUGUUGAAAAAUUAGCGGAUGACCUGUGGCUGGGGGUGAAAGGCCAAUCAAACCGGGAGAUAGCUGGUUCUCCCCGAAAGCUAUUUAGGUAGCGCCUCGUGAACUCAUCUCCGGGGGUAGAGCACUGUUUCGGCUAGGGGGCCAUCCCGGCUUACCAACCCGAUGCAAACUGCGAAUACCGGAGAAUGUUAUCACGGGAGACACACGGCGGGUGCUAACGUCCGUCGUGAAGAGGGAAACAACCCAGACCGCCAGCUAAGGUCCCAAAGUCAUGGUUAAGUGGGAAACGAUGUGGGAAGGCCCAGACAGCCAGGAUGUUGGCUUAGAAGCAGCCAUCAUUUAAAGAAAGCGUAAUAGCUCACUGGUCGAGUCGGCCUGCGCGGAAGAUGUAACGGGGCUAAACCAUGCACCGAAGCUGCGGCAGCGACACUUUAGUGUUGUUGGGUAGGGGAGCGUUCUGUAAGCCGUUGAAGGUGUCCUGUGAGGGGUGCUGGAGGUAUCAGAAGUGCGAAUGCUGACAUAAGUAACGAUAAAGCGGGUGAAAAGCCCGCUCGCCGGAAGACCAAGGGUUCCUGUCCAACGUUAAUCGGGGCAGGGUGAGUCGACCCCUAAGGCGAGGCCGAAAGGCGUAGUCGAUGGGAAACGGGUUAAUAUUCCCGUACUUGGUGUUACUGCGAAGGGGGGACGGAGAAGGCUAUGUUGGCCGGGCGACGGUAGUCCCGGUUUAAGCGUGUAGGUGUGUGUUCCAGGUAAAUCCGGUUCACUUUAACACUGAGGCGUGAUGACGAGGCACCACGGUGCUGAAGCAACAAAUGCCCUGCUUCCAGGAAAAGCCUCUAAGCAUCAGGUAACAUCAAAUCGUACCCCAAACCGACACAGGUGGUCAGGUAGAGAAUACCAAGGCGCUUGAGAGAACUCGGGUGAAGGAACUAGGCAAAAUGGUGCCGUAACUUCGGGAGAAGGCACGCUGACAC
rnacentral:rRNA from 1 species